rnacentral:rRNA from 1 species
AUUGAACGCUGGCGGCAGGCCUAACACAUGCAAGUCGAACGGGUGGCGGACGGGUGAGUAGUGCAUGGGCAUGUUGCUUAUGGAGGGCGUCCACUACGGGAAACUGUAACUACUACCGCGUACCAUAGGUUGGGCCCAUGUGGGAUGAUCUAGUAGGUGGGGUAAAGGCACACCUAGGCGACGAUAUCUAGCUGGUCUGAGAGGAUGAUCGGCCACACUGGAACUGAGACACGGCCCAGACUCCUACGGGAGGCAGCAGUGGGGAAUAUUGGACAAUGGGCGCAAGCCUGAUGCAGCCAUGCCGCGUGUAUGAAGAAGGUCUUCGGGUUGUAAAGCACUUUAAGUGGGGAGGCGUUACCCGCAGAAGAAGCACCGGCUAACUACGUGCCAGCAGCCGCGGUAAUAC